UGGAUGUUGAUGAUUACUUGGGAUACCCUGGUAAUUCUAGAGCUAAUACAUGCGUCCAAACCCCACUUUUGGGGAAGAGUUUUUUUUAUUAAAAACUACCCCACCCCGGGUUGCCCGGUUUCAAGUUGAUUGAUGGUAAUCGAACGAAUCGCAUGCUUCGGGGGCGAGUUUUUUUUCAAUUUUCUGACCUAUCUUUUUAGAGGGGGUGUUUGGCUUACCGUGAUUUAAAGGGAAGGAGAGUUUAGGGUUUGAUUCCGGAGAGGCGCCUGAAAACGCUUACCCCAUCUAAGGAAGGGAGUGGGCCCCAUUUACCACUUCCCGACGAGGGGGUAGGGAAAAAAAAAAAUUACUGAGCCUUCCCUCUUGUCUUUGUAUAAAAAUAAUUACCACCCCCUCCCCAGCUC
rnacentral:rRNA from 1 species